rnacentral:rRNA from 1 species
ACUCCUACGGGAGGCAGCAGUGGGAAGUAUUGGACAAUGGGGGAACCCGUGAUCCAGCCAUGCCGCGUGUGUGAAGAAGGCCUUAUGGUUGUAAAGCACUUUAAGCGAGGAGGAGGCUACUGAGACUAAUACUCUUGGAUAGUGGACGUUACUCGCAGAAUAAGCACCGGCUAACUCUGUGCCAGCAGCCGCGGUAAUACAGAGGGUGCGAGCGUUAAUCGGAUUUACUGGGCGUAAAGCGUGCGUAGGCGGCUUUUAAGUCGGAUGUGAAAUCCCCGAGCUUAACUUGGGAAUUGCAUUCGAUACUGGGAAGCUAGAGUAUGGAGAGGAUGGUAGAAUUCCAGGUGUAGCGGUGAAAUGCGUAGAGAUCUGGAGGAAUACCGAUGGCGAAGGCAGCCAUCUGGCCUAAUACUGACGCUGAGGUACGAAAGCAUGGGGAGCAAACAGGAUUAGAUACCCCUGGUA